GCGGAGCGGCCGGGGCAGGCGGCCGCUGAGCCCCGGCCGAGCGCCCGCGGGCCUCACGGGGGGAAAGCGCCCGAACGAGCGAACGGGAGAGCUCGAACCGCGCCAACUUCGGCGGGUUCCAUGGCCCGGCGGGCCGCGUUAGGGGCGUUGGGCGCGGGCGCGCGGUGGGGGCGGGGAGCGGCGCCGUGCGCAUGCGCGCUCCGCUGUUCGGGCCGCGUGCGGUCGGAGGGCGAGUGGGCCGGGGUCACCUGGCGGCGCGGGCCUUGGGCGUGGGGGCCACCUGGUGGCGCGGGGCUCCGACGGGGUUCACCUGGUGGCGCGGGCCUCCUGGGUUGUGGGGCAGCCGAAGUCACCCAACUGGUAAGGCCAUCGGGAAAACAGGAAAACACCAUAUUCCCGUGUCGGUUUAUGAAGGCCUUGGAACAAACUGCGCAAACUGUAGUGGCAAAAGGUUGGGAGCCUAGGAUUUAUCCAAACAUGGAUCUUGGACCGAGGAAGAUACACCCAGAAGUCAGGAAUGUUCCUGUCAUCGAAUGUGAUACAUUAAAAUUUACAGUUUCAAA